UACAGAGGUCUCAAGCGUUGUUCGGAUUUAUUGGGCGUAAAGAGCUCGUAGGCGGUUCGACAAGUCGGAUGUGAAAUCUCCACGCUCAACGUGGAGGGGCCAUUCGAAACUGUCGUGACUUGAGUCCGGUAGGGGAGUGUGGAAUUCCCGGUGUAGCGGUGAAAUGCGCAGAGAUCGGGAGGAACACCCGUAGCGAAGGCGGCACUCUGGGCCGUGACUGACGCUGAGGAGCGAAAGCGUGGGGAGCAAACAGG
rnacentral:rRNA from 1 species